GACGAACGCUGGCGGUGUGCUUAACACAUGCAAGUCGAACGGAAACGCCCUGCUUUUGUGCGGUUCUGGAGUGGCAAACGGGUGAGGAACAGGUGUGUAACCUGAUCUUGACUUUCGGAGAACUUCAUGAAACUGUGCCUAAGCCCGGAUAGCAGCUGCUGCUGGAUUGUGGGGGUGGGAAAGUUUCGGCGGGUGGGGAUGGACUCGCGGCUUAACAGCUUGUUGGUGGGGUAGUGGCUUACCAAGGCUUUGACCGGUAUCCGGCCUGGGAGGGUGAACGGGCACAUUGGGACUGAGAGAAGGACCAGUGUCCUACGGUAGGCAGAAGUGGCGAAUAUGGCACAGUGGGCGGAAGUCUGAUGCAGCGACGCUGCGUGUGGGAAGACGGCCUUCGGGUUGUAAACCGCUUUAGCCUGUGACGAAGCGUGAGUGACGGUAACGGGUGAAGAAGCACCGGCUAACUACGUG
rnacentral:rRNA from 1 species